AAAUGAAUUUCAAUUAUAGAAUGAACUAAUAGCAUGUUAUAAGGUUUAGGUGUUUAUCAUUAAAAUGUCAAAAAGAAAUUCCAGGCCAAUCUGUCCAAAUUCUGAUUUUGCAAGUCAAAGAACUUGAUGCAUUUAUUUGCCCACUAUGGCAUUGUCCACAAAAUGCAUCAAGUAUGGAAAAAUGACAACAAGAUAGUAUGUUCUUGGAGACAUUAAAAUAAGUUUUGGACAUUUGUUAUCGGAAUGUCCACACACUGGGUCAACCUGUCCGAAUCCCGAUUUUGCAAGGCAAAAUACUUAAUGCAUUUUGAAAGAUGUUUGUUUGCCACUAUAGCAUUGUCCAAUAAGAGCAGUAAGUAUUGUACUGAAAUCCAUUGCAUUGAGUAUUUUCUGUACGCUUUUGUGCGCAUGUGUGUAUAAG
rnacentral:misc_RNA from 1 species